rnacentral:rRNA from 1 species
UACGGAGGGUGCAAACGUUGCUCGGAAUCAUUGGGCGUAAAGCGCACGUAGGCGGUCUGUUAAGUCGGAUGUGAAAGCCCUCGGCUCAACCGAGGAAGUGCAUACGAAACUGGCGGACUUGAAUAUGGAAGAGGGUCGCGGAAUUCCCGGUGUAGAGGUGAAAUGCGUAGAGAUGUGGAGGAACACCGGUGGCAAAGGCGGUUCUCUGGGCCUUACCUGACGCUGAGGAGCGAAAGCGUGGGGAGCGAACAGG